rnacentral:rRNA from 1 species
GAUGAACGCUGGCGGCGUGCCUAAUACAUGCAAGUCGAGCGAACAGACGAGGAGCUUGCUCCUCUGACGUUAGCGGCGGACGGGUGAGUAACACGUGGAUAACCUACCUAUAAGACUGGGAUAACUUCGGGAAACCGGAGCUAAUACCGGAUAAUAUAUUGAACCGCAUGGUUCAAUAGUGAAAGACGGUGUUGCUGUCACUUAUAGCUGGAUCCGCGCCUCAUUAGCUAGUUGGUAAGGUAACGGCUUACCAAGGCAACGAUGCGUAGCCGACCUGAGAGGGUGGUCGGCCACCCUGGCACUGAGCCGCGGUCCAGCCUCCUACGGGAGGCAGCAGUAGGGACUCGUCGGCAGUGGGGGAAAGCUUGACGGAGCAACGCGGCGUGCGUGAUGAAGAUCUUAGGAUCGUAAAGCUCUGUUAUGAGGGAGGACCAAAUGUGUAAGUAACUAUGCACGUCUUGACGGUACCUGAUCAGAAAGCCACGGCUAACUACGUG